ensembl:lncRNA
CCACUUCCAUGCGCCGCGGACUUCCAGACGCUGCUGCAACGGGCCGCAGAGUCGGGCAGCCUGGGCAAAUGGGGCUGGGCACACAACGUGGCGGCCAAAGGGGUCCACACCCCUGCUUACAGAGGGGCCCCGGUCGCCGCUUCCACCGCAAAGGGCCUGGUACCCCAGGGCUCAGCCACACCCUGACUUACAGGGCAGCCCCGGUCCCAGAAGGCCACGGGGGGCUCCUUCUCCCCCAGUCAGGGGCACCUUGACCCAAACCCUGCUAUCAGGGCGGUCGCCCCACACAGGCUGCCAGCGGAGCACAAAGGCUCCCACCCACAGACCCUGCUUACAGGCGGGGCGAUGACACCCAGGAGCCACAGAGCUCGGUUUCCCCCUCGCCAGCAGGAACGACUCUCAGCGGCCAGGCAGCAGGGCGGCACGGCCAAAGGCCGAGAUCCCAACCCCACAUCUCUCAGCACCACGCCUCUGAAAGGCCGGGCCGAAGGUACCCACCUGAGUACAGGGGGUCUCUCAGAACUCAUCCUCCUAAGCGCAGGGGGCACGCACAGCCCUGACUACAGGACGGUACCCCACGCCGCACCACGUCCAAAAGCCCCACGGAGCACGCAGCUCCUGCCAACGCCCGAGGUACAGGCGGGCCCGCCCGGCCGCAGCACAAUCAUCACCACGUCUUCAGGAGCCCAGGGAACAACCUCUACCCACACAGCGGGGAAGUCGCCCCAGCCACAAGUAGCACCUCAACCUGCACCCUCUAACGGGCCAGGGAGGGGUCACUCCCACCAGCUGGCUAAAGCAGCCGGCUGCACCAACGCAGCCUCCCCAGACCUGAUUACAGGGGGGGCGGGCCGCUCCGGCGACAGAGGGCUCCACAGUUUGUGACACACGCCCCGAGUACGGGGCUGUCACGCUGGCGUGUCGCCAGCAGGACAGGGGGCCACACAGGCACAGACCCAAACCCUGGAUACAGGGCGGCCAUGGCCACGCAACUACCACACAGCUCUGUUCUGCCCUAGGAAAAAAGGGGCAAGACAAAAGGACACUUGCACCACUCGCGGAGCUAAGAGGGAACAUCCCCCUUGCUGCAUCCACCGAGUCCUCCAUUCCCCCCUGGGAAGCCACAGCUAAGCUGCAGCCAUAGUCAUGGAGGCCUAAGGGGAGACUUCAAUCGCACAGUCACACACACAAAAGCAAACAAGGGAAGGAAGGGGAACACAACCACACAGACAGGGCUUUCCAGAACGGAAGGAGAAGGCAGUGCAGCCAAGGCCUGGGGAAAUAAAACCCCGUACCCACGAGCAGCAGACAAGAGCCUCUGUCCCGCCCCGGGGCUGCACGGAGGCCUCAGACCUCAACGCGCCAAGGGGAUUCCCAGGUGACUUAAGGCCAAGUGGCGUGACACACGCCCCGAGUACAGGGCCAACACACGGGCAGCAGACAAGAGCCUCUGUCCCGCCCCGGGGCUGCACGGAGGCCUCAGACCUCAACGCGCCAAGGGGAUUCCCAGGUGACUUAAGGCCAAGUGGCGUGACACACGCCCCGAGUACAGGGCCAACACACGGACAGGCCACCAGCAGGCAUCAGCGCUGAGCGGCCAGAGGAACAGUGGCAGGGGAAGGGCGCUACCCUGCUUACAGGGUGCCCGUGGGGUCCAGCGAGCUCCAUUUCCCACUCGGGUGCGGAGAAAGCAGCUCUCGCCCUCCUUACAGGGGCCCACCUUCCCCAGGCAGCCAAAGGAGCAACAAGGCAAAAGGCCAACUACAGCAAAGACCCGAGCCCUGCUUACAGGGAGGUCGCCCAGCACAAAGCCGGCCUGGUCACCUAAAGUGCCGGCAACGCUCUACUGCGACAUGACUAUGCCCCUGGUGACAGGGAGAUGCUUUUGCCCAGGCCGCCUCUCCCUUAGCCCAGCCGCAGUCUUCUGCUUCCUCUUCUUGCUCCCUCUGCUUGCAUCCUCCUGCCGCCCGGUUCCACACGUGGCUUCUUCCGCCGUCUUCUGCGGGAGCUCCUGAAAAGGAAGGCAGGCACCACUAAUCCCGAGAAGCACCGAGAACUCCCCUCCCCAAAGCAACCCAACAUCCCAACGCAGCCGGCACACGAGCGCCCCGCCAAGGAGGAGUUCACACCUUCCAUCCCCGACUCCUCCCAGUAAAAACAAAACAAAGAAGAACAACCCCCCCCCCCAAAAAAACCAUACAUGCCCUGUGUGCAGUGGAGUUAUUCUUUAUUGUGACUGCCAGCGAG